UACGUAGGGAGCAAGCGUUGUUCGGAUUUACUGGGCGUAAAGGGCGCGUAGGCGGCGCGACAAGUCACUUGUGAAAUCUCCGGGCUUAACUCGGAACGGUCAAGUGAAACUGUCAUGCUAGAGUGCAGAAGGGGCAAUCGGAAUUCUUGGUGUAGCGGUGAAAUGUGUAGAGAUCGGGAGGAACACCGGUGGCGAAGGCGGGACUCUGGGCCUACCCUGACGCUGAGGCGCGAAGGCGUGGGGAGCAAACGGG
rnacentral:rRNA from 1 species